UUUAUUUAUUUUAGUAAAGACAUUAUGGAAACCUUCUCAAAGUGGAUCAAUUCUUGCUACUACAUCAAUACCACAGCUUUCAGAUAUUUUUUAAACGACAGAAACUUCAAGUUUAUUUUAACAUCACGAUUCACUCAAGAUUGUUUAGAAAAUCUCUUUUGUGUUUUAAGAUCAACAAAUUUUGUACCAAAUGCACUGCAGGUAAAAAAUAAUUUAAAACUAAUUACUGUUUCACAGUGCUUAAAAUAUGUGUCCAAUG